UUUGUUCUCAUUAAGGCCAGAAUCAUCCAUAUGUGCUUGGUCCCUAAAAGUCUGGUUGUCAGGCAACUUGGUGGAGCUCGUCAGAGUUGGACUGUAGAUGUCACAAUGAUGCGCAGUAGUGACUGGAAUGCCCAUUUGCCAGAAGUGCCGCCAGCUGGAGAAGAUCCACCUCCAGAAGAUGGCAUCCCACAUCCUUUGCAUGGUAAUGGCCUUAAUGCUGAACAAAUGUACCAGCAGCAACUACACAAUUGGUUGGCCCAAAAUGAUGUCCCCAAUAAUGAUCGUAAUCAGGAUGAUGGUAAUGUAGUAGUGGAUCAGGGCAAUGAUAUUGACAUUCAUCUUGAGUGGGGAGUCUGGCCUCCCCUCCUCCUCAAGAGCCACAAAUGC
rnacentral:rRNA from 1 species